rnacentral:lncRNA from 1 species
GGGGUACCAGAUUAUGAUAGUCAUGAGCCGAGAUAAGCUUGUUGCUAUCUCUUCUUCUUAGUUUUCUAGUUUCUUUUGAGUUAGUGUUGAUUUUAGUGAAGAGAAUUAAUUUAAUGAAUCAAUGUUUGAUUUAUGAAGUUGUUUAUGGAUCACUGUUUAUUAAUUGUUGUGAAAGAUUGAUGAUGUAUGGAAGUUUUCAGUCACUAUUUAUUACAAGGUUGUGAGUUCAGUGGAGAGGAAUUGUAAUCGAAGGAAUUAUCUUGAUCAGAUUUUGUGGAUUGAAAGUUGUUCGUUUCAGGGUUUGGGUUAUGAUUGUGUGUUCGUGAAUUAUACAGGGUACUGAAAUUGAUGUCGUGGUUGUUAUCGUAUUGAUAUGAGAGAGUGGACAGUAGGAGGAAAAGUUAAGUGUUCUUCGAUAUUGUAAGCAUUCAGCAGUAGCGGUUAAUUGUGUGACCCUAACAAUUGGAGCUCAUAUACAUGGUCUUUCCCUGUGUUUGA